rnacentral:lncRNA from 10 species
CUUGAUUAUGUAAUGCUGUCAGUGGGUUAUUGAAUUCUCCUACUAUUAUUAUGUGGUUGUCUAAGUCUUUUCACAGGACAAGAACUUAUUUUAUGAGUCUGAGUCCUCCAGUGUUGGGUGCAUAUAUAUUUAGAAUGGUUAAGUCUUGUUGAAUUAUACCCUUUAUCAUUGUGUAAUGUCCUUCAUGGUCCUUCUACAUUUUUAUUGGCUUAAAGUCUAUUUUUUCUUAUAUAAAAAUAGUGACUUCUUCUCUUUUUUCUUUUCUGUUUGCAUGGUAGAUCUUUCUCAACCCUUUGAGCCAAUGAGUGUCAUUAUAUAUGAGAUGGGUCUCUUGAAGACAACAGAUGGUUGGGUCUUGUCUUUCCAUUCAGCUUGCCACUUUAUGUCUUUUAAAUGGAGUGUUUGACCCCACUUAAUUCAAGAAUGACUGUUGCUCUGGGAUUAUUUUACUGGAUUCCUUGAAUUCACUGGAUUGGAUUUCAGUAUUCUCCUGAAACUUGAUGAGUGUCCUUGCCAUCCAGAUUCUGAAUUCUAUGUCUGUCAUUUCAGGCUGGUUAAGAACCAUUGUUGGGGAGCUAGUGGACUCGUUUGGAGCCCUUCAUCUCUCCGUUUCUUGGUCACCAGUUGAGUACAAACUCUCUGGUUUUAAAAUGUUAUCUAUGUAAAUUCUUCUGCCACAGCUGGACAAGAUGCAUUCAAGAGUUUUUCUGUUUCCUGUGUGGUGAAGCAGCUUUCCCCUAACGACUAUUUCCCAUCAGUACCACAAAGACCUACCUUCUUAACCACUGUUUCAACGGUUUCUUACCACUUCCACCUUUCUGUAGAACAUUUCAUUUGGAAGGAGAGUCACAAAUACUUGUUCACUGGGCUGUUCAGACUGAUAACGUCUCUUGGGACUUGAACAUUGAUGCACAAUUCUCAUCUGGAAAAAAAAUUCAACUGUCAAACAUUGGCAAAGAAUACCAGAAAUGAAAACAAACUCUUUUCUGUCUUAGUGUCACCAUAAGAUAAUUUGUUUUGCUCUCUUAGAGAAUAAAAUUCUUUACCUUUUUUCUAAAAAUCAAAGUAAAAACAUUUCAUUAUUUGUCUAUUUUGCUUACUUUAGCAAAAAUUUUAAUACAUUUGGAUUCUAAGCAUGUGUUUUACUGAUAAAUGCAUUAAAUUGUUAUUAGAAACUUUAGACCUAAGAAUAGAAAAUCAAAUGAGAUUGACAAACAUGGUAACAUAGGCUUAAUUUUUUAAUAAGGAAUGAGAGAAUUCUAGUACUUUAUUCUAAUACAAUAAAUAAUGUCAAGACUUUUCUUUACAUGUUCAAGAUUUUUCAUCUAAAAAAAGACCCAUGUUAAUUAUUAACUGCAGAAACAAAUUAUAAGUAUUAUGUCUACAUUUCUUAUAAAGAAAUAAUAUCUUAAUAUAGCCUUUAAAAAUCAUAAUUAUUUUACCUGCUCAUUUGUAAAAUACUAAAUGUAUUUGAAUUAUUUUUCAUAAAUUAAGGAAUUAUAAAAGUUUAACUGUCAUUUGUAUAUUAUAUCUUGAUCUUUUCAUUCAUUUUUAUUUUCUGGAUUUAUGGUCUUUGUUCUUAUGGUUUUCAUUCUGUUAUAUGUUUCCAAGAUAUUUUCAAAUAGAGUUUUAACUGAGUGAUGCUAGAUUAGAACAUUUUCUAGUUCAAAAUAUUUGAUGAUUCAAUAACAUAAAUUAUGUUAUGGCUCAAAAUUACCCCUCCCCUCAAUAAGCACACACUGAUAAGCAAUGACAUGUGUGGAAUAAAAAUGACAAGAAAGUAUGGCUCUGUCUCAACAAAAGGCAGAACUGACAGCUAAUGUUUGUUAUUGCUCUAAGCACCAGAAAGUGUGUACUAAAGAAUACUAGGUUUUUAGACUGUGAAUAGGUGUUCCACAUACAACUACAGACAUGCCAAUAUCUACUGGAAUAAAUUGGAUAAUUUCUUGCUGAAAUAAAGUUAAGUUGGUAUCUUUACACAGGUGUUCUCAUAGACUUUGAUGUGUUAACACUGUGAACAUUCCAGAGAAGGAUAUGGCACAGAUCUCUUGAAGCACCUCCUAAAACUAUGAAAACACCCUUCGGCUCUAUUAAUAUGUAAAACAAAUAUUGGCAAAUUGUUGAUUAAGAAUCUGCUUAUGCUGUUUUUCUGUACAUUUAAGUAACCACAAAUUGUGUUUUUUCUUUCACAAUAUGUCACUUCCUUUCCAUUCUCAAUGUCCCCACCCUAGUUUGGGCUUUUGCCUCUCUCUGCCCACCUCUAGUUUCUCUUCUUGUUCCAUCCUAUGAAUUUAAUCAUAUUAAUCUUCUUAAUGCAGCUCUAAUAAGAUCACAAAUUUCUUUGAAUAUUUGCCACAGUUUCCUUUAUGAAGAGCAAAAAUCUUUCAAAAUGUAAUCUGAUAUGCAGGGGUAUCUAUAAUGCAAUCCCAACCAACUUUCUAACGUUUUUUUUUUUUCAAAUGGCAUUAUUUCUUGACCCACCUGUUUGAUGAAUUGACCUGGUCACCAGUCAUGUCAGAGAUUUAUUUUCUCUGAUCUUUUGAUCACAUUAGUCCUUUGUCUGGAAUAUGCUCAACCAGCUUGUUCCUAUUGAGAUCCAGUGUAGUCCAUUCCUUGGUUCAAAUUGAAAUGAAAUUUCCAGCAUGGAACUCUCAGAUUCUUCCAACAGGACAAAGCCUUCCCCUCAUCUGAAACUCCAUAAAAGUUUCUUACAAAACUUUUGAGGUAUAUAUCACAUCUGUGUGUAGUUGCCUCAGUUGCCUGUCUAAACUGUGAAAUGGUUUGGGAUAGGAGAUAGAACAUCAGGGAGAGAUUUCUGCUAGGAAGUCCAUGGCUUUAGGCAGUGGUCAGUUAUAUAUGAAGUGGGUGCAGGGGCAUUCAUCUGAUGAGUUUAUUAUUCUGAUAAAGUAAAUGCUAAAACAUUUCAGAAUCACUUCUUUAAGAGAAGAGCUACAAGAUACUCAUAUUACCUUCGGCAA